rnacentral:rRNA from 1 species
ACGCUGGCGGCAUGCCUAACACAUGCAAGUCGAACGGAGGCCCGAAGCUUGCUUCGGAUACCUUAGUGGCGAACGGGUGAGUAACACGUGGGAAUCUACCUAAAAAUGGGGAAUAACUGUUGGAAACGACAGCUAAUACCGCAUAAUCCCUUCGGGGUAAAGGCUUCGGCCGUUUUUAGAUGAGCCCGCGCUAGAUUAGGUUGUUGGUGGAGUAAUAGCCCACCAAGCCUGCAAUCUAUAGCUGGUCUGAGAGGAUGAUCAGCCACACUGGGACUGAGACACGGCCCAGACUCCUACGGGAGGCAGCAGUGGGGAAUAUUGGACAAUGGGGGAAACCCUGAUCCAGCAAUGCCGCGUGAGUGAAGAAGGCCCUAGGGUUGUAAAGCUCUUUCAGAAGUGAAGAUGAUGACUGUAACUUCAGAAGAAGAUCCGGCUAACUCCGUGCCAGCAGCCGCGGUAAUACGGAGGGAUCUAGCGUUGUUCGGAAUUACUGGGCGUAAAGGGCGCGUAGGCUGUAUGAUUAGUCAGAGGUGAAAUCCCUAAGCUUAACUUAGGAACUGCCUUUGAUACUGUCAUACUAGAGAAUGAGAGAGGUGAGUGGAAUUCCAAGUGUAGAGGUGAAAUUCGUAGAUAUUUGGAAGAACACCAGUGGCGAAAGCGGCUCACUGGCUCAUUUCUGACGCUGAGGCGCGAAAGCGUGGGUAGCAAACAGGAUUAGAUACCCUGGUAGUCCACGCUGUAAACGAUGAAUGCUAGCCGUUUGAGGUUUUACUUCAAGUGGUGCAGUUAACGCGUUAAGCAUUCCGCCUGGGGA